GUGACGUAGGCGGAAGUGGUCGAUGCGCCGGCUUGUGGAGCCGGAGACAACGAGUUCGAGUCUCGUACGUCACC
rnacentral:tRNA from 1 species